rfam:Triticum aestivum genome assembly, contig: Triticum_aestivum_CS42_TGACv1_scaffold_307060_4AS
CUUCUACUUCCUUCGUCCGGAAAUACUUGUCAUCAAGAUGAAUAAAAAGAGGUGUAUCUACAUGUAUUUUAAUUUUAGAUACAUCUUUUUUUAUCCAUUUCGAUAACAAAUAUUUCCGGACGGAGCCGUAACUC